UUUUUUCUUCAGUACAUGGGCAUUGUAUUGUAUGUAUGUAUUAUAGCAGUUUUCCACAAUCAAUUGAGUAAGCCUCAGUUUUUGAACAAUGCUACGCGGUAAGCGGAUGUAGUUUUAAUACUUUUACACUAUUAAUGUUAAAUUCACUUUUUAAUAAUUUUCCUCCCAGUGAAUUUCUACAGAUAUUCACAAAAAUUUGGCGAGGAAACGUUUUCGUACGUCUUAACGCCGCCGCAAACAUUUUCGAUUAAACGACGGCCAGUGUGAGCAAAGAAACAAAAGAGCGCGAAAUGCGGAGAGAGCAAACCAACCAACCAGCUAGCGAACGAAGAGACGGAGAGAGCGCAAGAAACAAAAACGGGUGGAUGAGAUGAAGAGUAAAUGCGCGCGCAGUGUUGCUUUGGAAUUCUUCAUUUUCAUUUUAGUAGCUGUUGUUGCUUUUGCUACAGUGGCGACGGACUACUAGGCAGCAUGUCAAACAGGGAGGCAACGCAGCAGAGUAACAUCGAGCCUCUUCGAGCAUAAAAAAAAUAAAAUGGGGAAAAUGCUGCUUUGAGUACAAAAGUAAAUACGUGCUAUGUAUAUAAUAUGUCGCAUAUAUAAUCUACACUCAGCACACAUGUAUUCGACGGUAUGUAGCGAGUCUUGUUGCUGUGCGUUUAAAUUGCAAUCUGUGUGGCAGAAAACAUUUCGUGGAAACGGCCGAGCAGAUGGAUGUGUGCGGAAUAAAGCACACCGUAUUCACGCCGAGAGCCCAUACGCAGCUCAUUGUCUAUGACAUACUUCGAUGAACAGAAUUAUUCGACGUCGGAGUAGAGAGGAAGCAUAUUUUCAACAGAAUAUAGACAGUCAAUAUCGAAAGUUUAAUCAUAAUUUUUCAUUGAAACUCAACGUUUUCGAUGAGCAAUCUAAAACAAAAGUGCAAAAAUGGCCCGUAAACUUGAAUACGUAAAGCUUACGUAAGUGUAAAACGCACAACAGUUACAUACGGUGUGACAGAGUCAGCAUGACAGUCUAAUGGACGGCAACAGGGUGAUUUUGUCGAUUAUCAUGGCGCGCAUAUAGCAUAGUGACACCCUGUAGUGAGAGCGACAUACAGAGAGCAGACUUGCUGAGAGAUGAGAACACCCACACUGAGAAAGCGAUAAAGAUAGAGGCCACACUCACGAGUUUGGAGCAACAGCGAUAUUGCAGUACAUAAUGAAAUCGACAAAACUGAAAAUCAGAAACCAAACAGACGAGUAGCUGGCUACAACACUGCCACGGUUACACUUUGCGGCUGCGACGGCAGCGGCGACAACGAUGGCGACGCGGCAUACACCUUGCCUCACUUCUUUACCAUCCACUUGGCUCACGCAUACAAACACACACAUUCAUGCAGUUAUGUACAUACGUGUAUAUUCUUUGCAAGUGGUGGUGAAAUUGUAGUUUUUGCUGCUGUCAAAACGGAAACGAGAAGAAACACAAAUACAGAGACACCGCAGCGGGCAUAGAAAGCAACCAGACAAUUCGAGCACAAGGUAAAAAAAAGGAGAAAAAGUGGAUGCAAGUUGCGGUGAUGCCAACGCUGUCUCACCAUGGCAAUGGUGUACAAAUGUAUGCACAUCACACAAACAUACAUACAUUCAAUGGCCAGCAGGGAGAGCAAUGGUCUUUCCGCUCUCUUCCUAUCUCUUUCUCUCUGAAAUGGUCAAACACAUGUUGGAAUUUGAUCGGCCGCGAGAAAAAGAGCAACUCAAUAACUUAGCGGCGGCGAAGCGUCAAUAAAAAUCUGUAUACUUGCGAAUUGUGCGCUCAUCGUCGUCAUGGUGUUGCUGGUGGUGGUGGAAAUGGAAACCUUGCAAUUAUCGAUUUCUUUUUCAUGUGCUCCCUUCUGCUGCAUUGCGCAGCGGGGGCGACGAGAGAGCAACUUAUAAGUAGAGAGCACUCGACUGAAUGAGAGAGUCAGCGCCACUGUCACCUGCUAGCUACACAACAAAUGCAAUUGCAACUGCAACUGCAACAGCACCAGCAACUGCAACUGCGUUAGUCAAUGCAAAUCGAGUGAACGAAUUUUUAGACACACAUAUGACGUACUGCCAAAGUUCAAAGUUCACGAGCAGGCGCCUUAUGCAGCAGCAGUUGCAUGGGACAAGUAACGCCAACAAGAGCACUACCUUAGCGUGCACCUACAAGAAAGACAAGUGCAAAAGGGACAACCACACAUGUGUGCGUGCAUUUGAAUUUUUGUAUAUAUAUAUAUAUAUAUAUAAGUAUAUAUGUGUGUGGGAGCGUGCUGCAAUCUUAGUAAAUGCUGUCCAGUGCACACACGCACAUACACACACAUGGAUACAAAGUUUGUUUGCCUUUUUCCAGGUACUUCCGCUGCUUGUUUACGUAUAUGCCGUCCGAUGUUAUUUGCUGUUGCGCAACAAUAACAAUUCAAAAAAAAAAAAAACAUGCAUCGAAUAUAUACACACUCACACAUGUGUAUUUGAAUAUGAGCAGAAUAACAGCACAAGAAUUGUCAACAUAAUGCAAAUUGCACUUGGCAAUUUGUGAAGAACAGUAAUAACAACUAAUUUUAUGCCGUGUUGCAAAAUUUACAAUCGUUUUUUCUUAAUUUAUAUGUAAAUGCUACAGGAAUUAUUCGUGGUAUCAGAUAAUAGUUUAAAAUUACGUGCAAAAUCAGCAAAAAGGCACAAAAAC